CCUGGAAACAAGAUGCUUAAUACCGGAUAAUAACAGAUGAUGCCUAUCAACUGUUUAAAAGAUGGUUCUGCUAUCACUCUUGGAUGGACCUGCGGUGCAUUAGCUAGUUGGUAGGGUAACGGCCUACCAAGCGAUGAUGCAUAGCCGAGUUGAGAGACUGAUCGGCCACAUUGGGACUGAGACACGGCCCAAACUCCUACGGGAGGCAGCAGGC
rnacentral:rRNA from 1 species